rnacentral:rRNA from 1 species
GUAGCUAAACUAGAAAAGCGUUUCACUUACACCGAAUAGCUAUCCGUGCAAAUCGGAUCACUCUGACACUUAAAAGCUAGCUAUAAGUAAUAAUUAACAAAUAUUUUUAAUAUACAUAUUGAAACACCAAAAAGUCUUUAUUAAACCAUUUUACACAUCUUAGUAUAGGCGAUAGAAAAGGAAAUUUUUAGCUAUAGAUCUAAGUACCGUAAGGGAAUGCUGAAAGAGAAAUGAAACAACUCAGUAAAGUAGAAUAAAGCAGAGAUAAAUACUCGUACCUUUUGCAUCAUGAUUUAGCAAGAAUAAUUAAGCAAAAUGUUUUUUAGUUUAUACCCCCGAAACUAAGUGAGCUACUCCGAAACAGCCUAUUAAUAGGGCAAACACAUCUCUGUGGCAAAAGGGUGUGAAGAUUUCUGAGUAGAGGUGACAGACCUACCGAACUUAGUUAUAGCUGGUUGUCUGAGACUUAAAUAGAAGUUUAGCCUCUAACUUUCUAAAUUUAAUUAUGAUCCCAUCAUCACAAUAAUAAUAGAAUAUUAAAGAGUUAUUCAUAAGAGGUUCAGCCCUUAUGAAAAAGGAUACAACCUUAACAGGUGAUUAAUGAACAUAUAACACAAGGUCAGUGUUUUAGUGGGCCUAAAAGCAGCCACCUAAGAAAAAAGCGUUAAAGC